rnacentral:siRNA from 1 species
CUAUAAGCCUUUCACUAGAUGUCU